UUAGGAAUCUUCCACAAUGGGCGCAAGCCUGAUGGAGCGACGCCGCGUGAGGGAUGAAGGUUUUCGGAUCGUAAACCUCUGAAUCUGGGACGAAAGGCCCGCAAGGGAGAUGACGGUACCAGAGUAAUAGCACCGGCUAACUCCGUGCCAGCAGCCGCGGUAAUACGGAGGGUGCAAGCGUUACCCGGAAUCACUGGGCGUAAAGGGCGUGUAGGCGGUCCAAUAAGUCUGGCUUUAAAGACUGAGGCUCAACCUCAGGGAUGGGCUGGAGACUGUUGGACUAGACCUCUGGAGAGGAACUCGGAAUUUCUGGUGUAGCGGUGGAAUGCGUAGAUACCAGAAGGAACACCGAUGGCGAAGGCAGAGUUCUGGACAGAAGGUGACGCUGAGGCGCGAAAGUGUGGGGAGCGAACC
rnacentral:rRNA from 1 species